AAAAAGGGCGCUCGUCUUUGGCAUGUUCUAAUGUCAGGAGCAAUAGUGCAGACGCAUUGCGCCGUUGGCUCAUCCAUUCGCCCCUUGUUGGGCGGGGGCGUGCGCUAAAUUGCCGCCUUCGAUGGGUUUCUAACGUGCUCAGUGGGGUAUGGCUUUGCAUAUCCAGUGCAUAAUUUUUUUUGUUUGGGGUUUGCGGCUGCACAUUUUAUGGCAUUGUUUUGUGUCCGUGCGCUGUGCCCCA